rnacentral:rRNA from 1 species
CCUACGGGUGGCAGCAGUGAGGAAUAUUGGUCAAUGGGCGCGAGCCUGAACCAGCCAAGUAGCGUGAAGGAUGACUGCCCUACGGGUUGUAAACUUCUUUUAUAAAGGAAUAAAGUGAGGCACGUGUGCCUUUUUGUAUGUACUUUAUGAAUAAGGAUCGGCUAACUCCGUGCCAGCAGCCGCGGUAAUACGGCGGAGCCGAGCGUUAUCCGGAUUGAUUGGGUUUAAAGGGAGCGUAGAUGGGUUGUUAAGUCAGUUGUGAAAGUUUGCGGCUCAACCGUAAAAUUGCCUUUGAUACUGGCAGUCUUGAUUACAGUUGAGGUAGGCUGUAUUCGUGGUGUAGCGGUGAACUGCUUAGAUAUCACGCAGAACUCCGAUUGCGAAGGCAGCUUACUACACUGCCACUGACCUUGAUGCUCGAAAGUGUGGGUAUCAAACAGGAUUAGAUACCCCGGUAGUC